AAUAUCAUGAACCAUUUCAUUCAUACGAUGAGUACUACUGCCCGAAUUGUGUACUUCUGUGAUGCCACCAUCUUUUCUCUGCCCAUGUGCCCACCAGCAUUCUUCGUAAUUUCUAAUGAACCCAGAAACAAGUAAAUGAUAGUUUAUCAUGUCUCUGUCCAUAUAAUUUAUAUUCUUACACUUCAAACAUGGACAUCGUAUUUGCUACUGACCAUUCAUACAUUCCGGGUGACUAUACGCAU
rnacentral:lncRNA from 1 species